GCUCCUAUAGCUCAGUUGGUUAGAGCAGUCGGCUCAUAACCGAUUGGUCACAGGUUCAAGUCCUGUUGGGAGUA
rnacentral:tRNA from 1 species